rnacentral:misc_RNA from 1 species
AGAGAAAAUAGUACUUAAAGAGAAGCAAGUCUCUUUCAAUUUACCCCUAUAAUCCUCACAUAUAAGCCUUUUAUUCUUGUUACAAUAACAACUCUAGCUAUUCUUAAUAGAUAACAACUUCAGUCAGUUGACCAACUAACAAACUCCAGACUGUUACAACUUGCAAAUUCAAAUGACAUUGCAAGUCUGCUAAUUGUCCUGCCUAAGCAAAACGCCCCAUUUCCUCUUCUAAAACGUAUCAUGGUAAGAUAGCACUUUUACUGGGAAUAGCCCCUUCUCUCAUAUU